rnacentral:rRNA from 1 species
UCUUCCGCAAUGGACGAAAGUCUGACGGAGCAACGCCGCGCGAGUGAUGAAGGUUUUCGGAUCGUAAAACUCUGUUGUGAGGGAAGAACAAGUACCGUUCGAAUAGGGCGGCACCUUGACGGUACCUAACCAGAAAGCCACGGCUAACGACGUGCCAGCAGCCGCGGUAAUACGUAGGUGGCAAGCGUUGUCCGGAAUUAUUGGGCGUAAAGCGCGCGCAGGCGGUUUCUCAAGUAUGAGGUGAAAGCCCCCGGCUAAACCGGGGAGGGUCAUUGGAAACUGGGGAACUUGAGUGCAGAAGAGGAGAGUGGAAUUCCACGUGUAGCGGUGAAAUGCGUAGAGAUGUGGAGGAACACCAGUGGCGAAGGCGACUCUCUGGUCUGAAACUGACGCUGAGGCGCGAAAGCGUGGGGAGCGAACAGG